rnacentral:sRNA from 1 species
GUGUGUCGACGGCAGAUCUGACGGCGCCGAUUCGUGCGGGCAGCGGAGUGGCAGGUCGGCGACGGCGGCGGCGAUAGGACCUUCGAGUGUUGGGCAAGAAGGAUUUGUGUUUUGGGAUGUUUUUUUGGUAGACAUGAAUUAAUUUAUUUUUUUUGCUUCAAUAUAUGUUAAAUUUGUGAAACAUAACCAAAUUGAAGUCUAUUUUGUUAAACUGGAAUCUAAUUUGAAAAAAUAAUCUAACAAAUCUAGGUCAAUUUUGAC